UACAGAGGUCUCAAGCGUUGUUCGGAUUUAUUGGGCGUAAAGGGCGCGUAGGCGGCGGGGUAAGUCGGGUGUGAAAUCUCAGGGCUCAACCCUGAGACUGCACUUGAUACUGCUCUGCUUGAGGACUGGAGAGGAGACUGGAAUUCACGGUGUAGCAGUGAAAUGCGUAGAUAUCGUGAGGAAGACCAGUGGCGAAGGCGGGUCUCUGGACAGUUCCUGACGCUGAGGCGCGAAGGCCAGGGGAGCAAACGG
rnacentral:rRNA from 1 species